rnacentral:misc_RNA from 1 species
UCCGUCUUAAAACUUCAAAGACGCUUGAUGGAGUUCGCUGACCGGAGUUGUUGCUUUCGGCGGUUGCUGCUGCCUCCAAAAGAAGAGAGAAGAGGAGGGAGACGAGAAGAGGGGCGAGAGGGAGAAGAUAGGGGGCGGGAGACGGAGAGGGGAAGAGGGGCGGCUGCCACCACUUGGAGGUGGUGAUUAACCACCGGAAAGAAUGGAGGGAGAG